rnacentral:rRNA from 1 species
AGAGUUUGAUCAUGGCUCAGAUUGAACGCUGGCGGAAUGCUUUACACAUGCAAGUCGAGCGGCAGCGCGGGGCAACCUGGCGGCGAGCGGCGAACGGGUGAGUAAUGCAUCGGAACGUGUCCAUGUCGUGGGGGAUAGCCCGGCGAAAGCCGGAUUAAUACCGCAUACGCUCUAUGGAGGAAAGCCGGGGACCGCAAGGCCUGGCACUGAUGGAUGAGCCCAAGUCGGAUUAGCUAGUUGGCGGGGUAACGGCCCACCAAGGCGACGAUCCGUAGCUGGUCUGAGAGGACGAUCAGCCACACCGGAACUGAGACACGGUCCGGACUCCUACGGGAGGCAGCAGUGGGGAAUAUUGGACAAUGGGGGAAACCCUGAUCCAGCGACGCCGCGUGGGUGAAGAAGGCCUGCGGGUUGUAAAGCCCUUUCGGUAGGGACGAAAGCUUCCGACCUAACACGUCGGGAGGUUGACUUAACCUACAAAAGAAGCACCGGCUAACUCUGUGCCAGCAGCCGCGGUAAUACAGAGGGUGCGAGCGUUAAUCGGAAUUACUGGGCGUAAAGCGCACGUAGGCGGCUUGGUAUGUCGGGUGUGAAAUCCCCGGGCUCAACCUGGGAACUGCAUCCGAAACUGCCUUGCUAGAGUAUGGGAGAGGGAAGUGGAAUUUCCGGUGUAGCGGUGAAAUGCGUAGAUAUCGGAAGGAACAUCAGUGGCGAAGGCGACUUCCUGGACCAAUACUGACGCUCAGGUGCGAAAGCGUGGGGAGCAAACAGGAUUAGAUACCCUAGUAGUCC